rnacentral:rRNA from 1 species
CCUACGGGUGGCAGCAGUGAGGAAUAUUGGUCAAUGGGCGAGAGCCUGAACCAGCCAAGUCGCGUGAGGGAGUACUGCCCUAUGGGUUGUAAACCUCUUUUGUCGGGGAGCAAAAGCCUGACGUGUCCGGCUGUGAGAGUACCCGAAGAAAAAGCAUCGGCUAACUCCGUGCCAGCAGCCGCGGUAUUACGGAGGAUGCGAGCGUUAUCCGGAUUUAUUGGGUUUAUAGUGUGCGCAGGCGGAUUGUUAAGUCAGCGGUAAAAUCGUGGGGCUCAACCCCAUCCAGCCGUUGAAACUGGGGAUCUAGAGUGGGCGAGAGGUAUGCGGAAGGCGUGGUGUAGCGGUGAAAUGCAUAGAUAUCACGCAGAACCCCGAUUGCGAAGGCAGCAUACCGGUGCACAACUGACGCUCAGGCACGAAAGCGUGGGUAUCGAACAGGAUUAGAUACCCCAGUAGUC